rnacentral:rRNA from 1 species
UACGUAGGGUGCGAGCGUUAAUCGGAAUUACUGGGCGUAAAGCGUGCGCAGGCGGUUUUGUAAGACAGGUGUGAAAUCCCCGGGCUUAACCUGGGAACUGCGCUUGUGACUGCAAGACUCGAGUACGGCAGAGGGGGGUAGAAUUCCACGUGUAGCAGUGAAGUGCGUAGAGAUGUGGAGGAAUACCGAUGGCGAAGGCAGCCCCCUGGGUCGAUACUGACGCUCAUGCACGAAAGCGUGGGGAGCAAACAGG